UUCGUUCAUGCCUGCAUGAAAAGGACCCCGGGCUUCCGGAUCACGCCCCCCUCAUGAGCAAGAAGCGGUAUGCCGCGGAUUGCGAAUGAGGGGAGCAUUGCGGGAGUGCGAAGCACGCAGCAAUGCGUGG
rnacentral:sRNA from 1 species